rnacentral:rRNA from 1 species
UACGGAGGGUGCAAGCGUUAUCCGGAUUUACUGGGCGUAAAGGGCGCGUAGGCGGCAAUUCAAGUCAUCUGUGAAAUCUCCGGGCUUAACUCGGAAUGGUCAGGUGAUACUGCUUUGCUAGAGUGCAGAAGGGGCAAUCGGAAUUCUUGGUGUAGCGGUGAAAUGCGUAGAUAUCAAGAGGAACACCUGAGGUGAAGACGGGUUGCUGGGCUGACACUGACGCUGAGGCGCGAAAGCUAGGGGAGCAAACGGG